rnacentral:rRNA from 1 species
CCUACGGGGGGCAGCAGUAGGGAAUCUUUCACAAUGGGCGAAAGCCUGAUGGAGCAACGCCGCGUGCAGGAUGAAGGCCUUCGGGUUGUAAACUGCUUUUAUAAGCGAGAAAUAUGAUGGUAACUUAUGAAUAAGGAUCGGCUAACUACGUGCCAGCAGCCGCGGUCAUACGUAGGAUCCGAGCAUUAUCCGGAGUGACUGGGUGUAAAGAGUUGCGUAGGUGGCAUAAUAAGUAGCUAGUGAAAUCUGGUGGCUCAACCAUUCAGACUAUUAGCUAAACUGUUAAGCUCGAGACCGUUAGGGGUAACUGGAAUUUCUAGUGUAGGAGUGAAAUGCGUAGAUAUUAGAAGGAACACCAAUAGCGUAGGCAGGUUACUGGGACGGUUCUGACACGAAGGCACGAAAGCGUAGGGAGCAAACGGGAUUAGAUACCCUAGUAGUC